GAUGAACGCUGGCGGCGUGCUUAACACAUGCAAGUCGAACGGAAAGGCCUCAGCUUGCUGGGGUGCUCGAGUGGCGAACGGGUGAGUAACACGUAGGUGAUCUGCCUUUCACUUCGGGAUAAGCUUGGGAAACUGGGUCUAAUACCGGAUAUUCACGGCACCGUGGUUGGUGUGGUGGAAAGCUUUUGCGGUGGGAGAUGAGCUUGCGGCCUAUCAGCUUGUUGGUGGGGUAAUGGCCUACCAAGGCGGCGACGGGUAGCCGGCCUGAGAGGGUGUGCGGCCACAUUGGGACUGAGAUACGGCCCAGACUCCUACGGGAGGCAGCAGUGGGGAAUUUUGCACAAUGGGCGGAAGCCUGAUGCAGCGACGCCGUGUGGGGGAUGAAGGCCUUCGGGUUGUAAACUCCUUUCGUCAGGGACGAAGUUUGUUUGACGGUACCUGGAGAAGAAGCACCGGCUAACUACGUG
rnacentral:rRNA from 1 species